CCCACUCGCUACUCUUUACAACUGAGUCACUCGCCGCACUCUCUUUCAUCUAAGAGGGCGAUUCAAAUUUACCAUCAGAGCUCGAUGAUUUCUGCACGAUUGGAGCUUCUAAGAAAUGCCAUGAGGUUUGUGCAAAUUCAGAGUUUUUUGAAGAUCGGAGUGUGAUUGGAGGAAAUGAAAUCAAUUUGAAUUAAAUAAAUAGUUAUGGGUAGUUUAUAACGAAAUUUUUAAUCAC
rnacentral:misc_RNA from 1 species